rnacentral:tRNA from 1 species
AUAAGAUAUUAAGAAAAAAUAAAUUCUGUUAGUUUUCAAAACUAAAAGUGCUAAU